GACGAACGCUGGCGGCGUGCUUAACACAUGCAAGUCGAACGGAAAGGCCCUGCUUUUGUGGGGUGCUCGAGUGGCGAACGGGUGAGUAACACGUGAGUAACCUGCCCUUGACUUUGGGAUAACUUCAGGAAACUGGGGCUAAUACCGGAUAGGAGCUCCUGCUGCAUGGUGGGGGUUGGAAAGUUUCGGCGGUUGGGGAUGGACUCGCGGCUUAUCAGCUUGUUGGUGGGGUAGUGGCUUACCAAGGCUUUGACGGGUAGCCGGCCUGAGAGGGUGACCGGCCACAUUGGGAAUGAGAUACGGCCCAGACUCCUACGGGAGGCAGCAGUGGGGAAUAUUGCACAAUGGGCGGAAGCCUGAUGUAGCAACGCCGCGUGCGGGAUGACGGCCUUCGGGUUGUAAACCGCUUUCGCCUGUGACGAAGCGUGAGUGACGGUAAUGGGUAAAGAAGCACCGGCUAACUACGUG
rnacentral:rRNA from 1 species